rnacentral:lncRNA from 1 species
GAGUCGGUUCAAUGAUCAUAUCUCUAUAUGGAUCAUCUAUCUAUGUGAUUUAGUUAAUGAGAUCAACUAAUCUUUAUCCGAUAAAGACGAUCACAUAAAUAUUGAUCUAACCGGAUUACUAAUGUCCAAAUUAAUAAUCCUACGACCAAGAACAAAUUUAGAUUAAAUUGUAAAAGACUUUGCUCUCAUUAACAUGAUCUCUCUCACGAUGACAAAUCUCAAAAUUUAAUCAAGGACCUUAUCAAAAUAAUCAAACAAUUGAUAAUAAUGAUAAAAGAAUAUCAAAUGCCAUAUAU